CAGCAGGUCAAAGACGAUGCACUCGGGCGUGUACUCAAAGUCGGUGACUGCUGAGAAGCGAACGUUCACGUCGAGCCCCGUCGACAGUUUGGGCAGCACCGCCAUGGCGUCGCUCAUGUUCUAAAAUGUUUCAGACAUGUCCCAUGCUAGCAAGCCACGUUAGCGAGUGAUGAUCCGGAUUGUGUGCGUGCGUCUGUGCGUACCUGUUGAAAAUUGAGCUCCAUCCCGUCCGUCUUUUGCCUGGGUGUGACUGACAGCACACACUCACCUGCACACGUACACAGCGGAUGUCAUGGAGGUGAUGAUGUCAUCAUGACAUCAUACCGAAGCAGCUUACCCAGGUGAGCCAUCAGGUCCUCUGUGGUCACAACUUCAGUCUGAGCGGGGAGCUUUGCCUAGCCGCGCAAACACACACACACACACACAAACGCGUGAAAGGCGUGUAUGCAGUGUUUUGGGGUGUGUACAGAAAAUGUGCUUGGUACCUUCCAGCGAAGGAAGAGUAUGUUCAUGAUGGCCAGCAGGGGGCAGGGUCCGUUGUCACUUUGAGUGAUGAUGGGCGUCUUUUUCUUUUUCCAGGUGAUCCACUUGACCAGGUAAUAAGCCGCCGAUGUGCCUGUCGCAGCUUUGGCGGGAGCAGCGCCUCCUUCGGACAGGAGAGCAAUUAUAGUCACAACUUGACUGUCUUUGUCGUAAUUGUCGCAAGCAAGUUGAUCUUCACCUGCCACCUCGUCGUCCUUCAGACUCGCCGCCUCAUUGGCCGGCGAGCAUCCCUCCACCCCCAACGCGGAGUAAGACGGUGGCAAAACGUCAUCCGGCUCCUGCAAGCUACCUGCGGCCGCCGUCGGCAUCCCCUCAGAGAGAUCCAGACUGGGAAGGGAGAAGGAUGCAGAGUCGCUGGACUCCCGUAGCUCGUCUGAGCUGUCAGCCGUCGCCACGGACGAACCCUCCACGGCCUCCGGCCCCGUACCUGCGGCCACGGCACACAAUGCACCAUGUGCAAACGUGACUGAAACGGGAUUACGAAUUUGGCAGAAUGAUGAAAGACUAAAAAAAUGGCUCAGACGUAACAAAACCUGGCUAACACAAUACAAACCAGAGUGAAACAUGA